rnacentral:piRNA from 1 species
UAGAUCCAGGACUAUGAAGCCAUACUGUGU